GACGUAGGGCGCGAGCGUUGUCCGGAUUUAUUGGGCGUAAAGAGCUCGUAGGCGGCUUGUUGCGUCGGCUGUGAAAACCCGCAGCUCAACUGUGGGCUUGCAGCUGAUACGGGCAGGCUAGAGUUCGGUAGGGGAGACUGGAAUUCCUGGUGUAGCGGUGAAAUGCGCAGAUAUCAGGAGGAACACCGGUGGCGAAGGCGGGUCUCUGGGCCGAUACUGACGCUGAGGUGCGAAAGCGUGGGGAGCAAACAGG
rnacentral:rRNA from 1 species